rnacentral:lncRNA from 1 species
AGACCCUAGCGGGCAGGCACACAAGCGGCUGGACGUCAAGAGAAGCAGAGGCAAGGAACAACAUACCAGCAGAAGAACACAGUGACAGACUCCGGCAGGCCACCAACAGCAGAACGGCAGGACAACGCGGAGUUUGGCUGAGGGCGGUCAGAGGAGAGCCUGGCUGCUAAGCGGCCUGACUCCAGGGGAAAACCACCUUCCCACUCCAUACCCCUUCUGGCUCCGUUUCCAUCUGCUGAGUGCUACUUCCACCAUUCAAUAAAACCUUGCACUCAUCCUCC